rnacentral:lncRNA from 1 species
GGAGCCUGGGCGGAGGAAUAGAACCUUCUGUCGUUCAGCUGAGCUUUAUCACCAGUUUCCUGUUGCUCCAUAGCAGCUUCACUGGCGAUGGGGCAGGGCCUGGCGGAACUUGGGGCACAGAUGAGGGAGGCAGUUCCCAGACACCCAGGGGAUCAACUGGAGCCCAGACGUGGACCCCGGGAGUGACCACCCCAGACCAGCCUCCCAGCGUACCAGGCUCUCUGAGACAAGAAGCUGUGUUCCCAAGUCACUGGGCCACCCCACCCAGAGCACCCUGAGUUAUACAGACUCGGCAGCCAGCCUCGGCCUCGCCUCUAUUUCUGGUUCUGUGGGCUCGCCCCGGGCGCUGAGCACCUCCAGGGCCUCCAGGUUGCCGGGUUCCUCUGCAACAACAGGCAGGGGCUCAGAGUCCCCUUCAGCCUCAGCGUCCUCAGUGUCACUGGCUCCGCCCUCAGUGCCUGGGCCUGACGGGGCAGCUUUAGCACAACGCAGGCAGCAGUUGGUGGCGACAGCCAUGAAGACCCCAGCCAGGGCCACCUCAGAGCCGGCCAGGUAGAAGAUGAUCUCAUAGUUCUUCAACACAUCCACCAGGCGGCCUGGGGAGGAGGAGGAAGAGGAGGGAGAGAUGUAAAACCUCAUGUGGAUUCUGCCAUUUGAAACCUUAAAAAUGUCACUUGCUGUCCCUGGACCUCAAUUGCUUAAGUGAUAUGUGGCUUCUGG